rnacentral:pre_miRNA from 1 species
CAUGUCUUACUUUCAAUGUCAUCAAAAAGGGCUGAGAAUGAUAUAUCUGCAAUUGAAUCGUAUCACAGCCAGCUUUGAUGGGCAUUGCAAAGGGCA